CUGAAGCUCUUGAGGGUAGGUUGCCUCUGGGAACUGAGUUUAUUUCCGAAUAUACACAAGCUAGGACUUAACUGGCUGAAAAUGUUGUUUGCCUAUGUGAAACACUGAGGGAGAAAAAAUUGCUUCUCUUACAGAUUUAUUUUCUCCUUUGGGAUCAUUCUAACAAUUUGUUUUCUGUUUGGGUGGAAAAUUCUAUAACUGCCCCUCAUCCCAGCCAGUUGUAAUUCCCACAUCUCCAAGGAAAGUGGUGGAUCAGGAGAGCCUGGUGUGAAAUGGCAGUAGAGGGCAAAAAACCACAGAUUUUAUCCAACACUACGAUUGUGUCCCUGUGCUUGGAUGUGGAUCAUUGGUUUGUAAGGCACACCAGAGGGAAGGUGAAGAUCAAGUCUCUUGACCUUGCUAAAUGGAUGCAAGUAUAUGUUUGCAAAACAGCAGUGCUUUAGAUUUUGAUGACAGAAGCUGUAAGUCGUAUCAGCAUCAGGAUGAAAAGCACCCUACUCCAACUUUGUUGAUUAAUAAAGAAAAAAAUCACUGGGUUCCAAGUUUACACCCCAGAAGAAGAGAGGAAGAUUAUUGGAUAGUCUGGAGGGUCUUCCCCCAGCAGCAGGAGUUACCAUGCCUCUAAGGGAAGCACUUUAGAGUCUGUUGGAGGAGGAAAUCUUCCCUUUGCUGAUAGGCUGCCAGUAAAAUCGCCCCAAUGAUGGAAUCCUUCUCUGUUUCCUACAGGGGUUGCCCAGCAACAGAGCCCUUCUCCGAGCAGGUGCUGCCAUGUGCUGCUGCUGCCAAGGCAUGUGCAGCCCGUCUGGUACUUUUCCAUUCAAAAUAAAAUACCAGAUUCAUAACCGACA
rnacentral:lncRNA from 1 species